rnacentral:rRNA from 1 species
GUCCUUUUGAUUUUUAUAUAAGGUCGGGCCUGCCCAAUGAUUUAUUUAAUGGCCGCAGUAUACUAACUGUGCAAAGGUAGCAUAAUCAUUUGUCUUUUAAUUGAAGGCUGGUAUGAACGGUUUGACGAGAAAUAUGCUUUCUUAUAUUAAUUAUUUUGAAUUUAAUUUUUGAGUUAAAAAGCUUAAAUUUUAUUGGAGGACGAGAAGACCCUAUAGAGCUUUAUAAAAUUUUAUUUAUUUUGUUUUUGGUUUAUAAAAUUUUAAUUUAUAAGAUUUUAUUUCGUUGGGGUGACGUGAAAAAAUAUUUAACUUUUCAUUUUUAUUUCAUUAAUAUAUGUAUUUUUGAUCCAGUAUUACUGAUUAUAAGAUUAAGCUACCUUAGGGAUAACAGCGUAAUUCUUUUGGAGAGUUGUUAUCGAUAAAAGAGUUUGCGACCUCGAUGUUGGAUUAAAAUAAGUACUAGGUGCAGCCGCUUAGUUACUAGGUCUGUUCGACCUUUAAAUUUUUACA